GAAACUUAGAGAAUUCCUGUUAGAUUUGAGAGUGGGCCUGCUUUGGUGGUGUGCUGGUUCAGCUAGAGUCAUGGCUGAUGUCACAACUGACUUGCUUCAGCCUCACAGGGCUUGAUGCUGAGGGUGUAGGCCCCCAGGACUUCACCUCUUGGAAAGGACUGAAGCAAUUUCCAGCCUACAGCGCUUCAAUUCGGUGAGGAAGAACCUUCAUUGCGCGGCAUUCAGCGAUAGCAACAAAGCGACUCCCUUCUCCGGACGUGUUCACGAGCUGUGUGCAGAGUUGCAGGCUUCGCAGUUGAGAAGGGAAAAAAUAAAAAAGAAAACCCACAAACGGAAAGACAAAGGGCCAGUCCCUUCCCAUGCUGGAGCCGCUCUGCUCGGUGCUUCGUGUGUGUGUGUGGCAGGGAGAACCAACCUGAUCCCAUUACAGAGCUCUGGGUGUGGCGCUAGCCUUGGGCAUAGUGGUAUCCUGCAGAUAAGAGUGCAGAACCCAGGGGAGCAGUGGCUUGCUGAAAGGAGCAGAAUGCAGAAGCAGGUUGUACUUUUAGGAAUGAGGCACUGCAUUGCCAUGGUGCUGUCUUCCGAUGAAGAACUUGUUAAAAGUCUGUAAAAACAUUCAGCGUUUCUCUGUAUCUGAAGCAUUGUGCUGGAAUACUGAUGCCUUCCAGUGUCUACACAAUGGUGGGGCAAACAGUUAUCAGAGUCCCCAUAUAUGGGGGAUAGAGCCUGGCCACUGUAUUCUCUUUGUAGUUCUAUUUUAAAUCCAGUCUUUGAAUCUACAAUUUCAAGACAUAAAUGUGCCUCUGGAACAUGAGAUGAACUUCACGUAAAAAUUUACUUGCUUAAGUUUUUUCACUGAAGAGUUUCACUUUUUUCCAUGUCAUGCCUUUGUAUCUGACUGACUUUUUCAUUGUAUUUGUUUUAUAUGUGGACAAAGG
rnacentral:lncRNA from 1 species